rnacentral:rRNA from 1 species
UACAGAGGGUGCGAGCGUUAAUCGGAAUUACUGGGCGUAAAGCGCGCGUAGGCGGCUUUGCAAGUCGGGUGUGAAAUCCCCAGGCUUAACCUGGGAACUGCAUUCGAGACUGCAUUGCUAGAGUAUGGGAGAGGGAAGUGGAAUUUCCGGUGUAGCGGUGAAAUGCGUAGAUAUCGGAAGGAACAUCAGUGGCGAAAGCGACUUCCUGGACCAAUACUGAUGCUCAUGUGCGAAAGCGUGGGGAGCAAACAGG